AGUUCCAGCCAUGGGCAAAGUGACACCUUGGUGAUGGUGUUGUUCUUAUCCGUGAGGGGCAGAGCAGAUGGCAGCUCUUGGUUCAUCCUAGCGUGAUGCCUGGCUGUGUCAUGCCUAGGGCACAUUA